GCUGACUCAUUCCAGCCAAUCAGCAGCAGACCCUCCCUCCCAGACCCUCCCACCUCCUGGACAGCAUCCAUUUUGAAGCUGCAUUCUUAGUGAGCUGUCCAGGAGGUGGGAGGGUCUGGGAGGGAGGGUCUGCUGCUGAUUGGCUGGAAUGUGUCAG